UUUUAACGGCUGCGGUAUUUUGACCGUGCUAAGGUAGCAUAAUCAAUUGUUUUUUAAUUGAAAACUAGUAUGAACGGUUUAAUUUACUUAAUUAGUUUGUAAUUUUUAAUAGUAAGUUAAAUAUAAAGUAAGAAUUCUUUAAUAAAUUAGGGGACGAUAAGACCCUAAAAGCUUUAUGAUUGGCAUUUAAUUGGUGAUAUCGGUGUUAUUAAUUCACUGGGGCAGUGAGUUUAGAUAUAUUUAAGUAUAAUUAAAAGCUCCUUUAAAUAAAGAUUUCAUGUAUAAGUUACUUUAGGGAUAACAGUGCAAUAUAUU
rnacentral:rRNA from 1 species